UGAACGCUCAAUUUCUUCCUUCCUAUUUGUGCUUGUGCUUGCUCCUUUUCCUACUUCAGGGAGAAUGAAGUUAUUGUUUUCCACCCUUGGGCACCAGCAUCGGCCAUCCUGAGAAAAGAGAACAAAACAAGCAAGCAGGCAACAGGCGCAGCUCCUCCACUUCUUGUCUUGGGUGUGAAUCCUUGUGGGGUUGAGGAGACGAUCUUGCAUGCCAUAGGUACCUGUCCACGAACCCAGUGAAUUUUGCAAUCAGUUCUUGAUUAUGUGCUGUUAAUAGUGCAGGAGAAAAAAAGGCAAUGUGCUCUAUCUAAUAUCUGUCAUUUAAAAGGUGUAUUCAACUGCAAAGACACAUAGAGGUGAUAAACGGCAAGCAACUCCUUCCUUUAUAUACAUUGGUCAAUUUAAUAAAAUAACUAUGAUCCCAUGGA